rnacentral:rRNA from 1 species
UACGUAGGGCGCAAGCGUUGUCCGGAAUUAUUGGGCGUAAAGAGCUCGUAGGCGGUCUGUUGCGUCUGCCGUGAAAACCCGAGGCUUAACCUCGGGCCUGCGGUGGAUACGGGCAGACUAGAGGUAGGUAGGGGAGAACGGAAUUCCCGGUGUAGCGGUGAAAUGCGCAGAUAUCGGGAGGAACAUCGGUGGCGAAGGCGGUUCUCUGGGCCUUACCUGACGCUGAGGAGCGAAAGCGUGGGGAGCGAACAGG